UACGUAGGGGGCAAGCGUUGUCCGGAAUCACUGGGCGUAAAGGGUGCGUAGGCGGGUCUUUAAGUCAGGGGUGAAAUCCUGGAGCUCAACUCCAGAACUGCCUUUGAUACUGAGAAGCUUGAGUCCGGGAGAGGUGAGUGGAACUGCGAGUGUAGAGGUGAAAUUCGUAGAUAUUCGCAAGAACACCAGUGGCGAAGGCGGCUCACUGGCCCGGUACUGACGCUGAGGUGCGAAAGCGUGGGGAGCAAACAGG
rnacentral:rRNA from 1 species